rnacentral:rRNA from 1 species
AACGACAUAGUGGCAGACGGGUGAGUAACGCGUGGGAACGUGCCCUUCACUACGGAAUAGCUUCUGGAAACGGAAGGUAAUACCGUAUACGCCCUUCGGGGGAAAGAUUUAUCGGUGAAGGAUCGGCCCGCGUUAGAUUAGUUUGUUGGUGGGGUAAUGGCCUACCAAGACUACGAUCUAUAGCUGGUCUGAGAGGAUGAUCAGCCACACUGGGACUGAGACACGGCCCAGACUCCUACGGGAGGCAGCAGUGGGGAAUCUUGCACAAUGGGCGAAAGCCUGAUGCAGCCAUGCCGCGUGAAUGAUGAAGGCCUUAGGGUUGUAAAAUUCUUUCGCCAGGGAUGAUAACGACAGUACCUGGUAAAGAAGCCCCGGCUAACUUCGUGCCAGCAGCCGCGGUAAUACGAAGGGGGCUAGCGUUGUUCGGAAUUACUGGGCGUAAAGCGCGCGUAGGCGGGCUGUUAAGCCAGAUGUGAAAGCCCGGGGCUCAACUCCGGAACUGCAUUUGGAACUGGCAGCCUAGAGGCCAGGAGAGGUUAGUGGAAUACCGAGUGUAGAGGUGAAAUUCGUAGAUAUUCGGUGGAACACCAGUGGCGAAGGCGACUAA